rnacentral:misc_RNA from 1 species
AGGGGACCUCUUUAGUCUCUUGUUAUGUCACAAUACUCAAGCCACUGAAAAUGACUCCUAUUCUCAAAAUGGGUAAUCAUUUUCCCCAAUCCAAAGCAUUUUCUUAUGACCAAGAAAAUCUUUCCUUGAAAACUUUCUACAUUUGUUCACCAAACACUGAAAAAUAUGGGGAAAUUUUUCUUGGAAAAUGUUUUCCAUGAUACAAAUGGAGCAUAAGAUUUUCUUUUUUUUUUGUCCCCUUCUCUUUUCCCAACAGGGCUUUCCUGCAUUGUUCAAAAUACUUGGCCAAGUCCCUCUUUGUGCCCUUUCAUUCUAAAUUUCUAAUGAAUUGCUUGUGUAUAACCCAUCCAAAAUGUUUGCCUAGAUCAUGACAAGGGUAUUAUAGCUUGAAAUUAAUUUCAUUCCAUAAUCCCAAGGACAGAAACACUAGGACCAACAAUAAUAGCACAGUUCUUCAAUUUAAGAGUUCUACACCAGCAUAAGGCAACAUUUUCUUCUCAACCUUUGAUUGAGAAUUGGAAGAAGAUCAUGAAAGAACCCACAUUAUUUCUAAAUCAAAAAAAUAUGAGAAUUGAACACGUAGCGAAACAUAUCUGCCACAAAAAGUAGCAAAACCUUUUUACAUUGCACUUACAGCAGAUUUUGAUGCAUCCUGGCAGGCAAGUGCAACAUCCAGCAACAGAAGGCAAACAUGGAGAGCAGUUGUCUCAUCAAUAGGCUCAAUAUUGUGAUACAAAGGUUCUAGAACUGACAAUGCCUUAGUAUAUUCGUGAAGAUGAAACCAGAUAAUUGCAAUAUUUAAUGUUGCAACUGCCGGGUCAAAUUCAUCCAUGUAAAUCAGAGUCGCACUAUUUGUUACAGAAAAUUGAUGUGCUGUUGCACCACUUCCUUUAGACCCUGAAAUAACUUUAUUUCCAGCAUCGCUCCCAGCAUCAACCUGUUCUCCAGUAGCCCAAGCAAGUUGUUCGCCUUUCUUCUAAACCAAUAACAUAGAAACAACAAAGAAAAUCACAUUAGAUUCCAAAAAAAAGGGAGCCAAAACAUGAUGAAGCAAAAUUUUCCUAACAGCUUAUAUAUAUUAUUUCCAUUUAAAAACUCUGCAAUUUUAUUAUUGAAGUUUAACAUCUAUAGGACAUGUUGAUAUUAGAAAUCUAUUUCAAUUUAAAUUCUAUUAUUAUUCCAGUUACAACAAUAAUUUCAAAAUAAAUUAUUUAAACAAAUUUAACAAUUAGUCAUGCAAAGCACAAGACUAUGACUAAUCAACUCAACUCAACUCAACUCA